rnacentral:lncRNA from 1 species
UGUGUGUUAUGUGUUGCGUGUGUAUUUUUGAGUGAUCCUUGUACUGCCUAAGGAUAGGAACUCUUUGUUGAAUUUGAUGAAAGAGUUUUCUGUCAUAUAUGUAUCUAUGUAGGCACAGAUUUGGUGCAGGCGAGUUGAGUCGCUUCGCCAUCGAAAUCUUUACCAGGCGCAGUGAAUAAUUGUCCUGCCAAAUUUAUUCUCUCUCUCUCUCGAUCACAUAUAUUUUUUUUGGCAAUUUGUGAUCUGUUUAUGUUGGAUGAAUUGCGUAUUUGGCCAUCUCAUUCAUUUAUUAUUUGGCUGGAUUUUCGUUCUCAUCUGUGGGUAUGAGAAUUGUGGCUCCUGUGAUGGCAUGACAUCUUUGAGACCUGAUUGUCCAAUUUGAUGACAAAUCAAGCAAUUUUCUACUGAGGAGUCGUCCAAACACAAAUUGUUUUGUUUUGUUUUAAAAAUUGUUGUGAUUAUUUUGAAUUUAAUUUUUGUCGGAUUAUGUUAACACAGAAUUUGGGAUCUAUAGAUGAUGAAAUGCGCACUGGGAUCGGAGCAGUUUCAACGGCUUGGCUUCAGGAAGAACACGCAGACUAGAAAGCGAAUUCGGAUUCCAAUUCUAUCUGUUUUGGUGGUUAAAUUUGUGUGAUGUCUAAUGAAUAUUUGUGUUUUACGGAAUAGUUUUCAAAAUUUAAAAAUUAUGAUCUGCAAAAUACGAAUGAUAUAUAAAAAUAAUAAAUAGAAGAAAUUACAAAAAAAGCUCUAGAGUUUGUUUUUGUUCACAAAUUAAAUUUUAUAGUUUCAAUUGUAACAAAUUAAACUCUAAUGUUUUGAUCUGUUCACAAUUAAAAUUAUUCGUUAAUCUUUGUUUUAUUAGGAUUGAUGUAACUAAUUGAUUCUUGCAACAAAUUGCGAAACAUAUUUUAUAGUUAUCAACUUUUAAUCGUUGUAAUUAAGAUUCUUUUUUAAGUAGAGCUUUGAAAAAGUAGCUUGAACGUUUAGCUUUAGCUUGAAAAUAAAUUUUAAUUGCGUCGAUUAAAGGAUCAAACUAUUGAAAGAUGUUACUUUUCUUGUUUUGAGUUAAGAAUUUAUUUGUUUCGAGGAGAAUUUUAAUUAUGACAUGAUCAAAAUUUUAUAAUUUAAUUUGUUAUAAUUAAAAUUAUAGAGUUUAAUUUGUUACUUAGGUCAAAUCUUAAAGCUCAAUAUUUUUGUUUCAAAACAUAAACAGUUUUUGUCCCGAGACUUUUAAUUAUUAUAUUUAAUAAUAGUUUUAUUAUUUGAAUUGUUUCAGAAUUUAUUUUUUAUUUUUUUAAAUUAGAAUUAAAAAUAGAAAUGUUGGGUUGGAAUUAUAAUGAAAUCUUUUAAAAUACUCGUAACUUAAUGAAAUGAAACGAAACUUAAUGAAUUAUAAUGAAAUCUUUAUAAUUGAAAUGUUUGCUGAAAUUGUUGCAAUUCUCUGACUUAAUUGAGAGUUUAUAUAUUUGAUGAGUUGUACAAGUCCUCAUAUAGCCUACUCGACUGAGCAGGUAUACGAGUAAUUCAGGAAGUGAUCACUAGAAGGCGAUAAUGAGAUUACUACGCUAUUUGAGGUGUACUCGUGAUCGUGGAUUGCAUUAUACCAUAUGUCCAGUAGCACACGAAGUGUAGUACACGAAGUGGAUAUGUGUGUUCAUGCUUCGUGGUGCAAUGUCUUGAAAAUCUUUCAAACAGACGUGCAUUGCACGAUCUAUGAUAGAAUCAGAGUUUAUUACUUUAGAUAAGACGAUUGAAGAGGCCGAGUGACUACAAAAAUUUCGAGAGGAUAUUCUAAGAUGGUUGACACUUGUGUCUAUGAUUACUAUCUAUUGCGAUAGUCUGCGAUUGGUAUGACAUAGAAUAAUAUUUAUAAUGGUAAGUCGUAGACAUAAUAAAAUUAGACAGCUGCUCUCGGGAUUGUUGCUAUUAACUAUGUGAUGUCAAUAGACAAUAUUACGGAUCUGCUUACCAAAAGGUUACCCGAGAGCUAUAUGAUCAAGCAUCAAAAUGAAUGGAUUUAAAGUCUAUAGAAAAGAAAAGUAUUGGGAAGGAAAACCCAACAUAGUUGACUCGAGAUCCCAAGAUCUAGGUCCACUAGGAUAACCUAAUUGCGUAUAUCUAAGAAAGAGUCAUUAUGGAGUUGAAGAACUAAUAUAAAUUCUUAUGAUGCACAAUGAUUAUGGGAUAAGGUUAAAUAUUGACUUUUAAUGACUCUUUGUGCUAUUGAGCUAGGGUGGGAAAGUCACCUAUGUGAGUGUGAAGUGGGGCCAUUUCUUUGAGAAUUAAUGAAGUCGAAGUUCUCGAAAAAUAUUUGUAGAACCAAGAAGAGUGUUCUAUGGCAAAAAUGGAUACAAUAGUGAGAACUGAACUGCGUCAGGAAAAGUUCAUGUGUGACAUCUAUUGUCACCAACAGCAGCACAAUUCAAGAUGGGCUCGUUCACUGGUAUGCGAGUAAAUUCGAUAGGCUUUCUUACAAGGGAAGGUUCAAGGCCCAAAAUUACCUAUCAUAUAUA